UCUUUUUCAAGUGAAGAAAUGAUCUCAUGCUCCAAUAGCAGUCUCUCCUAUGAGGAAGAAGUAUAACUGAGGUGUUCCUAUGCCACAUAUCAUGAUACAUGAGAGGGAAAUUGGACAUAGUUUAUGUAUGCGACAACAGCAACAAGAAUUUUAUUAGCACAAGUAUGGAAAACAGAAAACGCCAACAAAGGAAGCAGUGCAAGCCAAGCUUAUGGACUACGCGGAACUGGCUAAGCUGACAGAGAGAAUACAUGAGAGAGACAACAUCGAUUUCAAAAAAGAGUGGGAACCAUUUAUAAACUAUAGAAAAAGACAGUAUAAAGAUAUGGACUCUUUGCCAGGUUUUGACAACUAUAUAAGAAGCAAAAUCAGCAGAGUAUAGAAUUUGUUUAAUAAAUCAAUACGGAAAUAUGGGGGAAGCCAAAGAGGAGGGAGGGGAGACAUACAGAUAUAGAAAUUGUUCAAUUAAGAUUUGUGGAAAUUUGUUGUUAUAAUUUGAAAAUUCAAUAAAAAUAUUUUUUUAAAAAAUG